rnacentral:lncRNA from 1 species
CCAAUUCCAUCAUCGAAACACUGCAAAUACAUUGAGAUUAAUCUCCAAGACAUGCAAGCGAGAUUCCCAUUAAAAAAAAAUGGAUAAUAUCACACACAACAUACACACAAAUUUGUGAACAUUUAAAAUGUUAUUAACAUAUCAGGCAUAGCAUAUGAGCAAAGGCCAGAACUACAAUAACGCAUAUAUCAGGAAUGGAUAAAGAGUUCUUAUAUGUUAAUUGUUGAAGAUAAAUAAUAUCACAUCCUUGAACCACAGUUCAGCCUAAUAAAAGAACAGAGUUUGAUCAACAAAGAAAUUAAUACCAAUCUAAAUAAUUAAUACACCCAAUACAUAAAGCCUUUAACGCCUUAAAUAUAUUAUACCUGUAAGUGCACAAAAAUUACCUCUUUCCUGCAGGACACAGAAAAGAAAAGAUCGAAUGAAUAUCACUCCAGCAUAUCAAAAUUUCAGCCAUGUAUACCACUUUUAACUUCCAAUCAAAUCUCAUUUCACAUCUGGGGAUCUUUAUCUCCACCAUCUUCAGCAGGUGCAGUCUCAGUUUUUUCAGCACUAACAAAAAAUUAAAAAAUAAAAAAUAAAAAUAAGUUCAAUAAAAAACACGUCAGUAAAAAAGAAUCGAAUGGUACAUCAUUAUAUUAUAACACAAGACAGGUGAGGUUCUGAUUUCUACUGAGUUUCCUAAUCCUCAAUUUCAACUAGGCUCAGGCAAACCAUUUUUUCUUCAAAGAAUAUAUAAACUAAAUUAACAUUCUUCUGAGACAAACUCCCCCACGGAGAGGAAGGG